GCUGUCUAUACCGUCGUCGAUAGAGCAACCGCUUCUAAGCGGUUGGUUGUACGUUCGAUUCGUACCAGGCGCGCCA
rnacentral:tRNA from 1 species